rnacentral:tRNA from 1 species
CCCCUGGUGGUCUAGUGGUUAGGAUGUGGUGCUCUCACCGCUGCAGCCCCGGUUCGAUUCCCGGUCAGGGAA